GAUGAACGCUAGCUACAGGCUUAACACAUGCAAGUCGAGGGGCAGCAUGGUCUUAGCUUGCUAAGGCCGAUGGCGACCGGCGCACGGGUGAGUAACACGUAUCCAACCUGCCGUCUACUCUUGGACAGCCUUCUGAAAAGGAAGAUUAAUACAAGAUGGCAUCAUGAGUCCGCAUGUUCACAUGAUUAAAGGUAUUCCGGUAGACGAUGGGGAUGCGUUCCAUUAGAUAGUAGGCGGGGUAACGGCCCACCUAGUCUUCGAUGGAUAGGGGUUCUGAGAGGAAGGUCCCCCACAUUGGAACUGAGACACGGUCCAAACUCCUACGGGAGGCAGCAGUGGGGAAUAUUGGUCAAUGGGCGAGAGCCUGAACCAGCCAAGUAGCGUGAAGGAUGACUGCCCUAUGGGUUGUAAACUGCUUUUUAUAAGGGAAUAAAGUGGGAGUCGUGACUCUUUUUGCAUGUACCUUAUGAAUAAGGACCGGCUAAUUCCGUGCCAG
rnacentral:rRNA from 1 species